rnacentral:rRNA from 1 species
UAGGGAAUCUUCCACAAUGGACGGCAAGUCUGAUGGAGCAACGCCGCGUGAGUGAAGAAGGUUUUCGGAUCGUAAAGCUCUGUUGUUGGUGAAGAAGGAUAGAGGCAGUAACUGGUCUUUAUUUGACGGUAAUCAACCAGAAAGUCACGGCUAACUACGUGCCAG